rnacentral:tRNA from 1 species
GGUUGUGUAGUGUAGCGGUUAUCACUUCAGAUUUUGAGCAUACCAAAAGUUCUGAUAACCCCGGUUCGAAUCCGGGCACGACCU